AUGUUAAAAUAAAUAAUAAGACCACGGUUCUCGUCCGAUCACGAAAGUUAAGCAACGUCGGGCCCGGUCAGUACUUGGGAGGGUGACCACCUGGGAACACCGGGUGCUGUAGGCU